GCUAUCGCCGCUACGUCAUUUCCUGCGUCUCGCGGCGGGCCGCCGGGAGCACAUGUGUGUGUUCUCCGUGACAUUCUUGAAGUUGUGAGUAAUUAGAUUGUUUUUUGCUGCGUUUAGGUUGUACCACCUCGUUGUUUUCGUGUACUUUUGUGCUCAUCGACGCGAAGUGAGCGUCCGGAGUGAAGGCGACGCGAUUAUGCGUGAGAAAGAAGGGCACCAGCGGCCUACGACAUCGGUGUUUCUUUGUGACAGUGUGUUUACUACGCCUACGACGGCCGUCAUUCGUGGCGAAGGAGAAAACAUCUUCCAUUCGGCCUGAACAGUGAUGAAGUGGACGUUUUGUUUUUCGGUGGAAUGCAUCGUCAACAUGGUCCAUCCACUACGUAAACGAAACGGCGUGCCCAGAGUACAGAUCGUGACAGCGCUCCGCCUUCAAACCGAGGGCCUUUUGCAAGGCGCAUGAACUGCUCAUAUAAAAGUUGCAGUUAGCAUGAAGCAAUUGCAUGGGAACCGACUGGCCGUCUUCGGCCUACACGUUGCUGAAAAGACAGUGAAGACGUCUGACCCGACAGGUAGAAAAGAAGCAGAUGGCUACAGUGAUCAAUGAAGAAAUGGCUUCAUCUAUGAUGGCUCGCCUUAGGACAUUGGAAUGGAGCUACAAAAAGGCAUCAUCAUCCUCGCCUGUGCCCUGGAACUUUGGUUUGAAUGAGACUGUUCUUCAAUGUAGAAUGGCCGCAAGACUUGUCACCACAAGGCAUA